rnacentral:lncRNA from 1 species
CCGGGCUAGAGCGAGGGGCACGGCUGUCAGUCGGGGGGGCUCGGUCCUCUCAUUUUCCUGUGCCCAUCGCAUCUCCCCGCGGACCAGCCGGCCCUGCCCAGCUGCUCCCCUCCCUCCCCCUGUCCGGGAACCGGGUUUGGGGCUGGGGGAGGCGGUGCCCACCCCUCCGCGGGGCCGGCGGGAGCGGUGGCUCGGCAGCCCGGGCCGGGCUGCGCUGCGCUGCGCUGGGGGAGCAGGUUUCUUUGUUGGCUGCCGGGUGACUGGUUCCCAUUAAUCUCCCGCACUGGUCGUGGCCGUCUCCACUUCCUGCCUUUGCAUACUUUUCUCUCCCUCGAUCUCAGUCCCUUCCCACCCCCCUCCCUCCCUCCCCCCUUUCUUUGCCUCUUCCCAGCUUCUCCAAAAAAGCUACAACCGCCCGGGCUGCGGGACGGGGGCUGCAGGCGGCCGGCGGAGGGAGCGCAUCCCUGCGCACCUCGAAACAUGAAAGAAUACAGGAAGUCCUGCAUGACCUUAUGAAUACCUGUGCUAAUUAAGUCACUGGCUUGGUACUGGGAGAACAGCAAGAUAAUAACACAGAGUUUUGUCUGGGAAAUACAAAUCUGAGAAUGGAGUGGAAAGGGAAAUGCUCCAAAUUUCAGGUAACAAAAAUUGCCUUUUUAAUGUUAUGUCCUCCCAUUGUAAAGUUUGAUGAUUUUUAAUUUUUUUUUUAACUUGGUGGUGGUGUUUACUCCCAGCCGAGAGUGCCGGAGUGAGCUUGGAUUCUCUAACUCUGGGGAAUGAUGUCAUGCAGCAACAGUUGGAUUCUAUUAGCCAGGGAAAGAGGAAAC